UGCCGCGUGAAUGAUGAAGGUCUUAGGAUUGUAAAAUUCUUUCACCGGGGACGAUAAUGACGGUACCCGGAGAAGAAGCCCCGGCUAACUUCGUGCCAGCAGCCGCGGUAAUACGAAGGGGGCUAGCGUUGCUCGGAAUUACUGGGCGUAAAGGGAGCGUAGGCGGACUGUUUAGUCAGAGGUGAAAGCCCAGGGCUCAACCUUGGAAUUGCCUUUGAUACUGGCAGUCUUGAGUACGGAAGAGGUAUGUGGAACUCCGAGUGUAGAGGUGAAAUUCGUAGAUAUUCGGAAGAACACCAGUGGCGAAGGCGACAUACUGGUCCGUUACUGACGCUGAGGCUCGAAAGCGUGGGGAGCAAACAGGAUUAGAUACCCUGGUAGUCCACGCCGUAAACGAUGAGUGCUAGUUGUCGGCAUGCAUGCAUGUCGGUGACGCAGCUAACGCAUUAAGCACUCCGCCUGGGGAGUACGGUCGCAAGAUUAAAACUCAGAGGAAUUGACGGGGGCCCGCACAAGCGGUGGA
rnacentral:rRNA from 1 species